ACACCAGCUGCAGCCCGCGGAGGCGGAGGCGGCGGCUCUCAGAACACACACACACACACACACACACACACACACACACACACACACACGCUGUGCAAACAUCCCACUGCCUGGAGCGGAGCAAAAAUUCCAGCCCUUGCACAGCGCUGCAGACAAGACAAAGAUCUCUCUGCAGCUGCCCCCGGGCGCAAUGCUUCAGGCCGCUUGCUGCACGGUCAUUCAGCUUUCCAUUAACAUCUCUGAUGCACACUCUAUCCCUAAGGCGCCGGACGCUUGUCCCCGGGAGCAGAGGCAGCAACCUGGAACCAGUACCUGCCUGCAAGCCCGGCCACCUCGCCUGCCUCGGACACAUCCCAGGGUGAAAUUUGGGGCUUCUGCUGCAGACGUAAGCUUGAGAACCACGACCUGAAGGAUGCUGUUGGUUGGUCAACAGAUGGAAGGUGAGGUUGGGUCUAACUAGAACCUGAAGCUCUGGGAUCAACACUUUGGCCCCGGUGUCCUCAGCUCCCUCAGUAUCAAGCAAUGUGUCAUGUUGGCCCAUACACCCUGGCAGCUCUAGUAGGUUCUGUCCACCUCCUGAGCCUGCUUCCUCUCCCUGGGAACAGCCCCUGGAGCAAUGCUAGUCACCCCGCGGUGGAGCCCAGCAGAGACGUCCCCGGGGACACUCAAUCUCCUUAUUUUGUUGUGUAAUCUUCAGCAUCAGUGGUUCGCGUCCAGGUCCAGCAAGAAUGGUUGGCAAGCACAGUUGUUAGGUGGGAGAACUGGAACACGGAGAUCUCCCUGUGCUCAGAGGAAAUCGCGUGGCCCUGCUCACCGUCCUGGGGACUGAGACAGCAGCAGAGCCAACAUCACCUCGGGAAGAGGACGGAAAGCAACGGGUUUUAGGGCUUGUCUUUUUUUUUUUUUUUCUGAUAAAGUUACAGAAACGUCUAAUUACUGCUUUAAAACUCACCUUCCCACUACCUAGAACGAACGACUAUUAAAAGGCCCAUUCAAGCUGUAAAGCGACUGCAAAUGAUCUGGGAGAACAGAGAGCAGCUGGAACAGGGCGAAGCAAGGAAGUUUUUCUGAAAUAGUUUUUAACAAAGGAUGUCCUCGGUGCUUUUAUCAGAAAACAUUUCCACUGUGAGGUUUCCACAUAGCUGCUAAUAAUAACUUGUAAAUUUGCCUAGCUGGUGGCUGGAGCCUUGGAAUUUACGAGUAACAAAGAGCAGAAAAAGGGCUGAAGAGGAAGCCAGCUCUUUUCCUCGGGAAUAAACACAACGUGCUUUUGAACAACCCUCCCACUCCCUCCAUAAAGAGCAGGAAAGAAAUGAGGCUAGUCCAAGGAAAAGCAGGCUAUGGCUCAUUAAAGUGGAAGGCUUUUCCAUCCCUGUUUGUGCAGUCGGUGCCAGAGGCAGGAAGCCCAGAAGUGAAAACCACCACCAAGGACGCUCCCCUCUGUGGCUCUGCCCUUGAACCGUGUUUGGUGUCACCCACAAACCCCGGAGGCAGUAAGAAUGCAUGCUGAUGUCAGGUUCAUGGGCCACUGGUGCUUGUUCCCGAGGCGGGGGUAGGGGGGGAGGGUGGGGCAGUCAAGGCAAGAAGGCUGGUCACCAAAGAGGACAAAGCCUUGUGGGGGGGCUGAGCUGGCUGAGGAGCAGGUGUGAGGGGCUGUCAUCUUUGCUGUGACCCAGCUUCCCAGCAACAUGGAGAACAUCUGAAACAAAAUCACCUGUGGCACUGAGGACCUGCCUUCUCUUCCUUGAUAAGCUCAUUCCACCUCUAGAGGCAAAAAAUACAUAUUAAAAUACGCAUCCUCCCACUCAA